UACGAAGGGGGCUAGCGUUGUUCGGAAUUACUGGGCGUAAAGGGCGCGUAGGCUGUGCUGUAAGUCAGGCGUGAAAGCCCCGGGCUCAACCUGGGAAUUGCGUUUGAUACUGCGGCGCUGGAAGGUGGGAGAGGAUGGCGGAAUUCCCAGUGUAGAGGUGAAAUUCGUAGAUAUUGGGAAGAACACCGGUGGCGAAGGCGGCGACCUGGUCCUGGACUGACGCUGAGGCGCGAAAGCGUGGGGAGCAAACAGG
rnacentral:rRNA from 1 species